UACGUAGGGGGCAAGCGUUGUCCGGAUUUAUUGGGCGUAAAGAGCGUGUAGGCGGCCAGACAGGUCAGCUGUGAAAACUCGAGGCUCAACCUCGAGACGUCGGUUGAAACCGUCUGGCUAGAGUCCGGAAGAGGAGAGUGGAAUUCCCGGUGUAGCGGUGAAAUGCGCAGGAUAUCGGGAAGAACACCCGUGGCGAAGGCGGCUCUCUGGGGACGGUACUGACGCUGAGACGCGAAAGCGUGGGGAGCGAACAGG
rnacentral:rRNA from 1 species